ACACGUAGGGGCCUGACGUUGUUCGGAAUCAUUGGGCGUAAAGGGCGCGCAGGCGGCCGUCCAAGUCCGGUGUUAAAUGGUCGGGCUCAACCCGAUCAUGCGCUGGAAACUGGGCGGCUUGAGUCCCGUAGGGGAUGCCGGAAUUCUAGGUGUAGGGGUGAAAUCUGUAGAUAUCUGGAAGAACACCGAUGGCGAAGGCAGGCAUCUGGCCGGAGACUGACGCUGAGGCGCGAAGGCGCGGGGAGCGAACAGGUUUAGAUACCCUGGUAGUCCGCGCAGUAAACGAUGCGCACCAGGUGUCGGGCGGCAGCGCCCGGUACCGGAGCUAACGCGAUGAGUGCGCCGCCUGGGGAGUAUGCCCGCAAGGGUGAAACUCAAAUGAAUUGGCGGGG
rnacentral:rRNA from 1 species